rnacentral:rRNA from 1 species
GACGAACGCUGGCGGCGUGCUUAACACAUGCAAGUCGAACGAUGAAGCCGGAGCUUGCUCUGGUGGAUUAGUGGCGAACGGGUGAGUAACACGUGAGUAACCUGCCCUUGACUCUGGGAUAAGCGUUGGAAACGACGUCUAAUACCGGAUACGAGCUAGGACCGCAUGGUCACUAGCUGGAAAGAAUUUCGGUCAAGGAUGGACUCGCGGCCUAUCAGCUAGUUGGUGAGGUAACGGCUCACCAAGGCGACGACGGGUAGCCGGCCUGAGAGGGUGACCGGCCACACUGGGACUGAGACACGGCCCAGACUCCUACGGGAGGCAGCAGUGGGGAAUAUUGCACAAUGGGCGCAAGCCUGAUGCAGCAACGCCGCGUGAGGGACGACGGCCUUCGGGUUGUAAACCUCUUUUAGCAGGGAAGAAGCGCAAGUGACGGUACCUGCAGAAAAAGCACCGGCUAACUACGUGCCAGCCGCCGCCGUAAAAC